rnacentral:rRNA from 1 species
GGGAAUUUUCGGCAAUGGGGGGAACCCUGACCGAGCAACGCCGCGUGAACGAAGAAGUUAUUCGUAAUGUAAAGUUCUUUUAUUUGCGAAGAAGAAAGUGACGGUAGCAACUGAAUAAGCUCCGGCUAACUACGUGCCAGCAGCCGCGGUAAUACGUAGGGAGCGAGCGUUAUCCGGAAUUAUUGGGCGUAAAGGGUGCGUAGAUGGCACAAAAAGUCUUGUGUAAAAAUGCUAGGCUCAACCUAGUAGAGCAAAAGAUACUUUUGAGCUAGAGUAUGGCAGAGGCAAGUGGAACUACAUGUGUAGCGGUAAAAUGCGUAAAUAUAUGUAAGAACACCAGUGGCGAAGGCGGCUUGCUGGGCCGAUACUGACAUUGAGGCACGAAAGCGUGGGGAGCAAACAGG